GGAUUAGAUACCCUGGUAGUCCACGCCGUAAACGAUGAUCACUAGACAUUGGCUCACUUGAGAGUCAGUGUCCGAGCGAAAGUAUUAAGUGAUCCACCUGGGGAGUACGUCCGCAAGGAUGAAACUCAAAGGAAUUGACGGGGGCCCGCACAAGCGGUGGAGCAUGUGGUUUAAUUCGAUGAUACGCGAGGAACCUUACCUGGGCUUAAAUGCAUAAUGACGAAUCUGGAAACAGAUUUUCCUUCGGGCAGAAUGCAAGGUGCUGCAUGGCUGUCGUCAGCUCGUGCCG
rnacentral:rRNA from 1 species